rnacentral:rRNA from 1 species
AUUGAACGCUGGCGGCAGGCCUAACACAUGCAAGUCGAGCGGAUGACGGGAGCUUGCUCCUUGAUUCAGCGGCGGACGGGUGGGUAAUGCCUAGGAAUCUGCCUGGUAGUGGGGGACAACGUUUCGAAAGGAGCGCUAAUACCGCAUACGUCCUACGGGAGAAAGCAGGGGACCUUCGGGCCUUGCGCUAUCAGAUGAGCCUAGGUCGGAUUAGCUAGUUGGUGGGGUAAUGGCUCACCAAGGCGACGAUCCGUAACUGGUCUGAGAGGAUGAUCAGUCACACUGGAACGCAGACACGGACCAGACUCCUAAGGGAGGCAGCAGUGGGGAAUAUUGGACAAUGGGCGAAAGCCUUAUCCAGCCAUGCCGCGUGUGUGAAGAAGGUCUUCGGAUUGUAAAGCACUUUAAGUUGGGAGGAAGGGCAGUAAGUUAAUACUUUGCUGUUUUGACGUUACCGACAGAAUAAGCACCGGCUAACUCUGUGCCAGCAGCCGCCGUAAGAC